rnacentral:lncRNA from 1 species
ACCCUCCCACGAGACAGGAGCUUUCUCUGUAGAAUCAGCUUGUAGGAGACUUUAAUGUGAUCCCCAAUGUUACUCACCAGAAAACAGGCUUGUGGGACAAAUCUGUUGAAUGCACCAACUUCCUUAAUCAGUUAUAUUUUAAGGCACAUAUGAGAAUCCAUAAUGGAAAAAAAUUCUUUGAAUUGACUCAAUUUUCAGGAGAUUUUACAUGUUCUACAAGGGGAGUUCUGCCUAUCAAAUGUACACCAUAAAAGCCUUUGAAUGUAAAAUUUGUGGGAAAGUCUCUGGGUAUUCUUUAAGUCUUAAUAGUCACCUGCAAACCCACACUGGGGAGAAACAUUAUGAAUGUAAAAUAUGUAAAAAAUUCUUCACUACUUCUUCAAGUCUAACUGAACACUUCAAACUAGAGAGAAACCCUAUAAAUGUAAGGAAUAUGGAAACACUUUUACUAAGCACUCAGGACUUUCUUCACGUGUAUAAACACAUUCGGGAAAGAAGUCUUGUGUAUGCAAGUUAUGUGGGAGAUCCUUCAUGAUUCCUUCAAAUAUGACUGAGCAUUUCAGAAUUCAUACUGGAGAGAAACCCUACCAAAGUAAAGAAUGUGGGAAAGCCAUCCAUGCAUCUUCAUAAGCAUCUAAGAACACAUACCAGAGAAACCCUAUAAAUGUGAGAAGCGUGGGAAAGCCUUCCAUACCUCCUCCUACCUACGGAAACAUGUAAGAACUCACAGUGCAGAGAAACCUUAUGAAUGUAGGGAAUGUGGCAAAGCCUACAAAAGGUGUUAUCUAUUGCAUGAACAUUUAAAAACUCACAUGGUAGAGAAACCCUUUGGUUGCAAGGUAUGUUGGAAAGUCUUUUGAACGUUCUGCAUGCUGUAAUAAGCACAUUCAUCCUCACAGCGGAUGAAUACUUACUUAUAAAUGUAAGUACUGUGGCAAAGACUUCACUGUCUCCUCAAGUCUAAUUGGACAAACAAGAGCACACUGGAGAGAGGCCCUAUAAAUGUAAAGAACGUGGGAAAGCCUCUACCUCAGCCUCAUGUCUGAUUGUUCAUAAGAGAACUCACACUGGAGAGAAACCCUAUGAAUGUAAGGAGUGUGGGAAAGCUCACAAGAGGUGUUACCUACUGACUGGACAUAUAAAGACUCACAUGGGGGAAAAGCCUU